AACAAACGCUGGCGGCGUGCCUAACACAUGCAAGUCGUACGAGAAAGGGUCCUUCGGGGCCUGAGUAAAGUGGCGCACGGGUGAGUAACGCGUGGAUAAUCUGCCCUUCAGUUGGGACUAACUCAUCGAAAGGUGGGCUAAUACCGAAUAAUGCUGUGAGACCUCGGUUGAUCAGCCAAAGAGAGCCUCUGCUUGCAAGCCCUCGCUGACGGAUGAGUCCGCGUACCAUUAGCUAGUUGGUAGGGUAAUGGCCUACCAAGGCGACGAUGGUUAGCUGGUCUGGGAGGAUGAUCAGCCACACGGGAACUGGGACACGGUCCAGACUCCUACGGGAGGCAGCAGUGAGGAAUCUUGCGCAAUGGGGGCAACCCUGACGCAGCAACGCCGCGUGAGUGAGGAAGGUCUUCGGAUCGUAAAGCUCUGUCGGAUGGAAAGAACCGCAUAGGGGUAAACAGCCCCUGUGUCUGACGGUACCAUCAAAGGAAGCACCGGCUAACUCCGUGCCAGCCGCCGCCGUAAAAC
rnacentral:rRNA from 1 species